GUCCACUAGAGAAGCCUCAGAUGCUCGAGAUAUUAAACCUGAUGUUGCAGGAGGUAAGAGCUAGGCUUGUUUCAUUAGGAAUAAGUUUGGAGGUAUCAGAAGCAGUAAUGGACCUCAUAUGCCAACAAGGAUUUGACAGAAACUAUGGCGCACGCCCUCUGAGGAGGGCUGUUACUCAAAUGGUUGAAGAUCUCCUGUGUGAAUCUGUACUUUCUGGGGAUUUCAAGCCUGGUGAUGUUGCUGUGAUCCAUUUAGAUGAAUCUGGAAAUCCUGUCGUCGUUAACCAGUCAAGCCAGAGUAUCCAAUUGUCUGAUACAAACGGAAAUCCAGUAGUCACCAACAGGUGAAGCCAGCAUAUCCAUUUAUCUGAUACAUCUGUACUGUAUUGUAAGGUAAUAACAACACGAUAUAGCUCACUGUAUAUGAGUUAAUUUUUUUGUAUAGUUUUAGAUAUAGCCCAUUCAUACAUGUAAAGACAUGCCACAGAAUUCUUU
rnacentral:misc_RNA from 1 species